UUUUUUAAUUGAAAACUUGUAUGAAUGGUUCAACGAAAUAUUUUCUGUUUCAUAAAAAUUUGUAUAGAAAUUAAUUUUUUAGUUAAAAAGCUAAGAUAUAGUUAAAAGACGAGAAGACCCUAUAGAGUUUUAUACAAAAUAUAUUGUGAUUUAUUUAUAAUAUUUUAUAUUUUAUUAUGUUUUGUAUUUUGUUGGGGUGACAGUAAAAUUUUAUAACCUUUUAUUAUUUUUUAACAAUUAUUUUUGAAUAAUUGAUCCAUUUUUAAUGAUUAAAAGAUUAAAUUACCUUAGGGAUAACAGCGUAAUUUUUUUGUAGAGUUCUUAUCGAUAAAAAAUUUUGC
rnacentral:rRNA from 1 species